rnacentral:rRNA from 1 species
UACGUAGGGCGCAAGCGUUAUCCGGAAUUAUUGGGCGUAAAGAGCUCGUAGGCGGCUCGUUGCGUCAACCGUGAAAACCCGGGGCUUAACUUCGGGCUUGCGGUUGAUACGGGCAGACUAGAGGUAGGCAGGGGGAGAGCGGAACUCCUGGUGUAGCGGUGGGAAUGCGCAGAUAUCAGGAAGAACACCGGUGGCGAAAGGCGGCUCUCUGGGCCUACCUGACGCUGAGGGAGCGAAAGCGUGGGUAGCGAACAGGAAUUAGAU